rnacentral:rRNA from 1 species
AGUGAACGCUGGCGGUAGGCCUAACACAUGCAAGUCGAACGGCAGCACAGUAAGAGCUUGCUCUUACGGGUGGCGAGUGGCGGACGGGUGAGGAAUACAUCGGAAUCUACUUUUUCGUGGGGGAUAACGUAGGGAAACUUACGCUAAUACCGCAUACGACCUACGGGUGAAAGCAGGGGAUCUUCGGACCUUGCGCGAUUGAAUGAGCCGAUGUCGGAUUAGCUAGUUGGCGGGGUAAAGGCCCACCAAGGCGACGAUCCGUAGCUGGUCUGAGAGGAUGAUCAGCCAAACUGGAACUGAGACACGGUCCAGACUCCUACGGGAGGCAGCAGUGGGGAAUAUUGGACAAUGGGCGCAAGCCUGAUCCAGCCAUACCGCGUGGGUGAAGAAGGCCUUCGGGUUGUAAAGCCCUUUUUUUGGGAAAGAAAAGCAGCAGGUUAAUACCCCGCUGUUCUGACGGUACCCAAAGAAUAAGCACCGGCUAACUUCGUG